rnacentral:rRNA from 1 species
UACGAAGGGGGCUAGCGUUGUUCGGAAUCACUGGGCGUAAAGCGCACGCAGGCGGAUUGAUAAGUCGGGGGUGAAAUCCCGGGCUCAACCUCGGAAUUGCCUUCGAUACUGUCUGUCUUGAGUCCGGGAGAGGUGAGUGGAAUUCCUAGUGUAGAGGUGAAAUUCGUAGAUAUUAGGAAGAACACCAGUGGCGAAGGCGGCUCACUGGCCCGGAACUGACGCUCAUGUGCGAAAGCGUGGGGAGCAAACAGG